CUUAAACCCUACUCUCUCUCAUCCAAUCCUAAACCCCAAAUUUUGCAAGCAUGCCAUAACUUUUCCCCCCACUAACCAAAAGGUUCAAAACCCAUUAGCCUCUUUUGCUUGCUUCUCUCUCUCUCUCUCUCUCUCUCUCUCUCAAUGUUAACUGCUGUUUCAAGGAUGAAAUAUCUAAUAUCCCCACCAUUUGCACCCAUUUCCAAGGCCGCACCUUCUUUCCAUUUCUUCUGUUUACUCUCUAAUUCCAAAUUUCUUUCAUAUCCCAUUACUCUCUCAAAUCCCAUUUCUCUACGCCUUAAACCUCCGGCUAUGCUUUCAAUUUUUCCAAUUCAGAAUCGAUGUAUCCAUUCCAAUUCCUCACCCUCUCCCUCCUCUGGCGAGAUUCACGUUAUAGUUGGCCCCAUGUU
rnacentral:misc_RNA from 1 species